rnacentral:rRNA from 1 species
UACAGAGGGUGCGAGCGUUAAUCGGAAUUACUGGGCGUAAAGGGUGUGUAGGCGGCUGGAUAAGUCUGGCGUGAAAUCUUCACCGCUUAACGGGAAGGGGUCGCUGGAAACUGUUCAGCUUGAGUAUGGUAGAGGCAAGCGGAAUUCCUGGUGUAGCGGUGGAAUGUGUAGAUAUCAGGAAGAACACCGGUGGCGAAGGCGGCUUGCUGGGCCAUCACUGACGCUGAGACACGAAAGCGUGGGGAGCAAACGGG